CCCUCACCCCUCCCCUCCCCUCUCCUCACACCGGGUCAGUGUGGCACAGUCUGCCUGCUCUUCUGAACAAACACUUCAGCCCUGCCGACGCAGUGAGAGUCUGGAGCAGCUACACAAGGAUUACAAGCGGAGCCUGCGCUUGUUGAGCCUGGAUGAUAUGGAGCAGCUGGCGACCCGCAUGCUUCACCCUGAGGCUGUGGAGUGCAUGGAACUGCCCUUCCUGGACUGAGGAAUACUGCUGCUGCCCUCUCCACUCCCGUCUCCUGUCUCCCAUCUGCCCUCUCUCCUCAACCCUCCUGUCUCUCCUCUGCCCUCUGGCCUCUCUCCCAUCUCCUGUCUCCCGUCUGCCCUCUCUCCUCAACCCUCCCAUCUCUCCUCUGGCCUCUCUCCUCUGGCGUCUCCCCCUCUCUCCUCUCCUUACUUUGUUUAAAAGAAUAGAAGCACACCCAGUGAGCAAGGCAUUGAGGAGCCCCACAUCCUGUUUCACAAUACCGCUACAUAUUGACAGACUAUUCGCAUUGUGUGUGUUUGGUAAGACAAACCACAUUUUUCUACUUCUACUUUCUACUAUAUAAAAGGUGCCCAGUUUGGUGCAGGAGGCUUGUGGGUAACAGAGUGUGUUUUUGCUGGGGACUGCAACCCUUCCAUUACCAUUGCUGGUAGAGGGGCGACUGGUUUACUUUCAAGCCUUUUUCUUUAAUAAAUCCAGAUGUUUUGAAAUACA